CGGUGCCCGGCCGGGGGAGCGCGGCCCGAUCCGGGCCGUGGAUGGGAGCGCUCCCGUCCUGCCGGUGGCUCCGAUCGCCACCGGCGUCACC
rnacentral:tRNA from 1 species